AACGAACGCUGGCGGCAGGCUUAACACAUGCAAGUCGAGCGCUCUCUUCGGAGGGAGCGGCGGACGGGUUAGUAACGCGUGGGAACGUGCCCUUUGCUACGGAACAACAGCUGGAAACGGCUGCUAAUACCGUAUGUGCCCUACGGGGGAAAGAUUUAUCGGCAAAGGAUCGGCCCGCGUUAGAUUAGGUAGUUGGUGGGGUAAUGGCCUACCAAGCCUACGAUCUAUAGCUGGUUUGAGAGGAUGAUCAGCAACACUGGGACUGAGACACGGCCCAGACUCCUACGGGAGGCAGCAGUGGGAAUCUUGGACAAUGGGCGCAAGCCUGAUCCAGCCAUGCCGCGUGAGCGAUGAAGGCCUUAGGGUUGUAAAGCUCUUUCACCGGUGAAGAUAAUGACGGUAGCCGGAGAAGAAGCCCCGGCUAACUCCGUGCCAGCCGCCGCGGUAAUU
rnacentral:rRNA from 1 species